GUAGCGAAGUAGCUGAUUUCACACUGUCAAGAAAAGUCUCUAUCGAGGUUAAAGGUACCCGUACCGCAAACCGACACAGGUGGGUGAGGAGAGUAUCCUAAGGCCAGCGAGAGAACUGUUGUUAAGGAACUCGGCAAAAUGACCCCGUAACUUAGGGAUAAGGGGUGCCACCAUCAGGUGGCCGCAGAGAAUAGGCCCAAGCGACUGUUUACCAAAAACAUAGGUUUCUGCUAAGUCGCAAGACGAUGUAUAGGAGCUGACGCCUGCCCGGUGCUGGAA
rnacentral:rRNA from 1 species